ACUCCUACGGGAGGCAGCAGUGGGGAAUUUUGGACAAUGGGGGAAACCCUGAUCCAGCCAUGCCGCGUGAGUGGAGAAGGCCUUCGGGUUGUAAAGCUCUUUCAGCCGGAACGAAACGGUCACGGCUAAUACCUGUGAUCACUGACGGUACCGGAAGAAGAAGCACCGGCUAACUACGUGCCAGCAGCCGCGGUAAU
rnacentral:rRNA from 1 species